rnacentral:lncRNA from 13 species
AUGGACAACACAUCUGUGGUGGAGCCUGAUGCAGCUCCUGGUGCUCUGCCAAAGAGGAGACACAACCCCGAAAUCCUCGUGGAAGGGGGAUGGGAUGGAGAUGGGAAUGGGAUGGGGAUGGGGAUGGGAUGGGGAUGGGAUGGGGAUGGGGAUGGGGAUAGGGCUGGGGCUGGAGUACCAGCUGCGUUUACCCUCCCAGCCCCUCAAAGCAGCCAGGGAAAGGCCCGGCUGAGGGGGAUGCUCCUCACCAGACACCCUCCAAGGGCAGUGGGAUCCUUCUCUGUGAGGUCCAUCUGCGUCUUGCUUCGCCACGCUCCGUGUGUUCCACAGCCCCAGGAGCUGCUGCCGGCAGAGGGAGCAGGAACUGAGCGGGAUCUGAGCCUCUCCUAAGCACGGUGUUUGCGUUUUCCCUUUUUUUGGCUGGGUCCCGAGGCCGCUCUCGGAAGAGCCAAGUGCCGGUGUUCUGUCUGCACGCUCGGAGCUGUUCAAUUAAACAUUUCAGGGAAUUAACUGCGUGCCACGAGCUGCAGCAAACCCGCUCGCAGCCAGGGACCGCUGGAUUUGCUCCUCGCCAAAAAAAACCUCGGGAAACAACGCUAAUAAAGAAGGAUAACUGAGUCCCUGCCUGCUGCACGGAGCCUUUUCUUUCUGCCUUUGCUUCUAUUCCUUUGUUUUCCCAGCUGGGAGGGCUCUGUGCUCAGGAUGCGGCUCCCUCAGGAGCUGACUGGGAUGGGGAUGCCCGGAGCCGUGCCUUGGCUGGAGCCUCCCUUUUCCUCGCAGCCCAGGAGGGAUUUGCCAGGGCUGGCAGGCGGGAG